UUAAGUGGCAAUACUCGAGUGUCAAGCACCCUGGGAUAAAAUAAACCUGACUCAUCUCUAAAGAGAGGAAGUCAUCACCUGUUUAACCUGGAACUGUAGAUAUGAAGAUGACCAACUUUCAAAACCACUUCUUCACAAACAAACCCAUGAGGUUUCUGUUUAGGAGAAGCAGUUCACCUUUCACUCCUAAUGUCAGGAGAGGAGAAGCCUGGUGGAAGGAAAAACUCCAAGAGAAAGUAGCCAUGAGUUCAUAAUACCCAGACCUGAAAUAUCUUUGGAAAAUGCAAGAGGAGUGUGUUUACCAACAAAGGCAAAAAGGAAAAGGCAGAGAGGCAGUGGAGAACUUGUUGUCACCAACCAGCUCUUCAUUUUUUGUGGAGAAAGCUUCAAGUGUGAAGGAGCACUAACCCAGAAGAAAGAGCAAUCAAAUGUGCUAAAAAGCACUGCUUUCCACUUGCAAAAAGUCCUGUUUAGUACAUGUUUAUGAAACUCGUCUCAGAUGUUCUAAAAAUAGCCUUGCAGGAGCAAGUCAGCUCCCUCCAGGAAGCCCUACACGUUCCUAGCAUAGAAGCGCAGCUUAAUCCUGAUUUUCACAAAAAGAACAAUUAUUUUUAGUGCUUUUAAAAACAGACUUUAGUUGCCCGGUGCUGAUUUGUCAAAACAAAACAUG